rnacentral:rRNA from 1 species
UACGUAGGGUCCGAGCGUUGUUCGGAAUUACUGGGCGUAAAGGGCUCGUAGGCGGCCAACUAAGUCGGAUGUGAAAUCCCCAGGCUUAACCUGGGAACUGCAUCCGAUACUGGAUGGCUUGAAUCCGGGAGAGGGAUGCAGAAUUCCAGGUGUAGCGGUGAAAUGCGUAGAUAUCUGGAGGAAUACCGGUGGCGAAGGCGGCAUCCUGGACCGGCAUUGACGCUGAGUGAGCGAAAGCUAGGGGAGCAAACGGG